rnacentral:rRNA from 1 species
CCUACGGGUGGCAGCAGUGAGGAAUAUUGGUCAAUGGCCGGAAGGCUGAACCAGCCAAGCCGCGUGAGGGCGGAAGGCGCAGAGCUUCGCAGACCUCUUUUGCCGGGGGACAACAGGCCGGACUCGUCCGGUCCUGAGGGUACCCGGAGAACAAGCAUCGGCUAACUCCGUUCCCGCAGCCGCGGUAAUCCGGGGGAUUCGAGCGUUAUCCGGAUUCAUUGGGCUUAAAGGGUGCACAGGCGGGCCUUUAAGCCGGCGGUGAAAUCGCGGGGCUCCACCCCGCCGAGCCGUCGGAACUGGGGGCCGUGAGUGCGGCGGAGGCAUGCGGAAUGCGCGGUGUAGCGGUGAAAUGCAUAGAUAUCGCGCAGAACCCCGAUUGCGAAGGCAGCGUGCCGUGCCGCCACUGACGCUGAGGCACGAAAGCGCGGGGAUCGAACAGGAUUAGAUACCCGAGUAGUC